rnacentral:sRNA from 1 species
GCCAGGCGCGGUGGUGCUUGCCUGUAAUCCCAGGGGCUCUGGAGGCUGAGACAGGAGGAUCACCAGUUCAAAGCCAGCCUCAGCAACAGUAAGGUGUGAAGCAGCUCAGUGAGACCUUGUCUCUA